CUUGAUUCAGCGGCGGACGGGUGAGUAAUGCCUAGGAAUCUGCCUGGUACUGGGGGACAACGUUUCGAAAGGAACGCUAAUACCGCAUACGUCCUACGGGAGAAAGCAGGGGACCUUCGGGCCUUGCGCUAUCAGAUGAGCCUAUGUCGGAUUACCUUGUUGGUGAGGUAAUGGCUCACCAAGGCCACCAUCCGUAACUGGUCUGAGAGGAUGAUCAUUCACACUGGAACUGACACACGGUCCAUACUCCUACGGGAGGCAUCAUUGGGGAAUAUUGGACAAUGGGCGAAAGCCUGAUCCAGCCAUGCCGCGUGUGUGAAGAAGGUCUUCUGAUUGUAAAGCACUUUAAGUUGGGAGGAAGGGCAGUAAGCUAAUACCUUGCUGUUUUGACGUUACCGACAUAAUAAGCACCGGCUAACUCUGUGCCAGCAACCGCGGUAAUACAGAGGGUGCAAGCGUUAAUCGGAAUUACUGGGCGUAAAGCGCGCGUACGUGGUUUGUUAAGUUGGAUGUGAAAGCCCCGGGCUCAACCUGGGAACUGCAUCCAAAACUGGCAAGCUAGAGUACGGUAGAGGGUGGUGGAAUUUCCUGUGUAGCGGUGAAAUGCGUAGAUAUAGGAAGGAACACCAGUGGCGAAACGACCACCUGGACUGAUACUGACACUGAGGUGCGAAAGCGUGGGGAGCAAACAGGAUUAGAUACACUGGUAGUCCACGCCGUAAACGAUGUCAACUAAACGUUGGAAUGCUU
rnacentral:rRNA from 1 species